CCCGCUGAACUUAAGCAUAUCAAUAAGCGGAGGAAAAGAAACUAACAAGGAUUCCCCUAGUAACUGCGAGUGAAGCGGGAAAAGCUCAAAUUUAAAAUCUGGCGGUCCUUGUGGCCGUCCGAGUUGUAAUUUAGAGAAGUGUUAUCCGUGCUGGACCGUGUACAAGUCUCCUGGAAUGGAGCGUCAUAGAGGGUGAGAAUCCCGUCUUUGACACGGACUGCCAGUGCAUUGUGAUGCGCUCUCGAAGAGUCGAGUUGUUUGGGAAUGCAGCUCAAAAUGGGUGGUAAAUUCCAUCUAAAGCUAAAUAUUGGGGAGAGACCGAUAGCGAACAAGUACCGUGAGGGAAAGAUGAAAAGAACUUUGGAAAGAGAGUUAAACAGUACGUGAAAUUGCUGAAAGGGAAACGCUUGAAGUCAGUCGCGUCGCUCAGGACUCAGCCUUGCUUUUGCUUGGUGUACUUCCUGUUCGAUGGGUCAGCAUCAAUUUCGAUCGGUGGAUAAAGGCUUAGAGAAUGUGGCAUCUUGGGGUGUGUUAUAGCUCUUCGUCGCAUACAUCGGUCGGGAUUGAGGAACUCAGCACGCCGCAAGGCCGGGUACUUGUACCACGUUCGUGCUUAGGAUGCUGGCAUAAUGGCUUUAAUCGACCCGUCGAGAGACACGGAAGGGCGAAUGCGCGGCCUCUCAAAUACAACUCGACUCUACGAGGGGC
rnacentral:rRNA from 1 species